UGGUGUACUGAGGCUCUCCUUA
rnacentral:piRNA from 1 species